CGCCUCCUUCUCCCAACCUCUCUCUCUCGGUCUCUCUCUCUCGGCCUCUCUCUCUCUCGGCCUCUCUCUCUCGGUCUUCUCUCUGCCGGCCACGAACCACCACCUCCGCCGUCGCCGCCGGGCCGCUGCCGCCGUCGCUGGUGGGCCGCUGCCGCCGUCGCCGCUGGGUACACGGCGGUCUCACCGCCGUUGACCGAGAGAUUUGGAUAGAUCGUGAAAACGGGGUCAAAAGAGAUUAAUUUCGUUGUGGAAAAUCGGGCAUCCGCCGGAAUGCUGCCGGAAAGUUGCCGGACUGCCGUCGCCGCCGGUGGGCCACUGCCGGGCAGCAUCUCCGGGGUCCGGCAGCUCCCUCACUCACGAGGUAUCGAGAUUCAAGGCGUGACUAUUGAGCAAGAUCCGAAGGGCAUGGAGAGUAUUUUAUUUUUAAUUAAUCUUUACUUAAACGUUGAACUCGUGUACGGACUUUUAUUUGAAACUUGGUCUUCACAAACGGACUUUUAUUAGAGCAAACAUUUAUAUUGAAUAUUACUAUUUUUGUUCACUA